rnacentral:rRNA from 1 species
UCUGGUUGAUCCUGCCAGUAGUCAUAUGCUUGUCUUAAAGACUAAGCCAUGCAUGUCUAAGUAUAAGUAUUAUACAGCGAAACUGCGAAUGGCUCAUUAAAACAGUUAUAGUUUAUUCGAUUAUUUUCUCCUACAUGGAUAACCGUAGUAAUUCUAGAGCUAAUACAUGCUGUCAAACCUGACUUUUGUGGAAGGGUUGUAUUUAUUAGAUAUAAAACCAAUACCUAGCAAUAGGUUUUGUGAUGAUUCAUAAUAACUGAACGGACCGCGGCCGUGCUGCGGCGAAUCGUUCAAGUUUCUGCCCUAUCAGCUUUCGAUGGUAGUGUAUUGGACUACCAUGGCGAUCACGGGUAACGGGGAAUUAGGGUUCGAUUCCGGAGAGGGAGCCUGAGAAAUGGCUACCACUUCUAAGGAAGGCAGCAGGCGCGUAAAUUACCCAAUCCUGAUUCAGGGAGGUAGUGACAAGAAAUAACAACUCGGGUCUCCUUGGGAUUGCGAGAUUGCAAUGAGAACAAUUUAAACCACUUAUCCAGUAACAAUUGGAGGGCAAGUCUGGUGCCAGCAGCCGCGGUAAUUCCAGCUCCAAUAGCGUAUAUUAAAGUUGUUGCAGUUAAAAAGCUCGUAGUUGAAUUUCUGGCCAGUCGGGUGCUGUGCUUCGGCCGGUUCACGAUUUGGUCAUCCGUAGGGGAAACCUAUUCGGCCUUCACUGGUCGGUAGGCGGAAUCUACAAUUUACUGUGAAAAAAUUAGAGUGUUUCAGGCAGGCAAUCGCUUGGAUACUCCAGCAUGGAAUAAUGGAAUAGGACUUUUGUCUAUUUGUUGGUUCAAGGCAAAAGUAAUGAUUAACAGGGACAGUUGGGGGCAUUCGUAUUUAAUUGUCAGAGGUGAAAUUCUUGGAUUUAUUAAAGACGAACUUAUGCGAAAGCAUUUGCCAAGGAUGUUUUCAUUAAUCAAGAACGAAAGUUAGGGGAUCAAAGACGAUCAGAUACCGUCGUAGUCUUAACCAUAAACUAUACCGACUUGGGAUCAGCAGGGUCUUCCAAGCUCUGUUGGCACCAUAUGAGAAAUCAAAG